rnacentral:rRNA from 1 species
GACGAACGCUGGCGGCGUGCUUAACACAUGCAAGUCGAGCGGUAAGACCUUUCGGGGUACACGCGCGGCGAACGGGUGAGUAACACGGGGGUGAUUUGCUCUGCACCUCGGGAUACGCCUGUGACACUGGGUAUAAUACCGGAUAUGACCUCCUUUCGCUUAGCGGGUGGUUGCAAGAUUUAGCGGUGCAGGUUGGGUCCGCGGGCUAUCAGCUUGUUGGUGGGUGAAUGGCUUACCAAGUCAACGACGGCUAGCCCACCCUAGAGGGUCACCGCGGACACGGGGACUGAGAGAGGGACCAGACUCCAACGUGAGGCAGCGGUGGGGAGUUUGACACAGUGGGCGAGAGCGUGAUGCAGCGACGCCGGGUGAGGGAUGACGGCCUACGGGUUAUAAACCUCUGUCAGCAGGGACGAAGCGGAAGUGACGGUACCUGCAGAAGAAGCCCCGGCUAACUACGUG